rnacentral:rRNA from 1 species
AACGAACGCUGGCGGCGUGCCUAAUACAUGCAAGUCGAGCGAAUCACUGGGAGCUUGCUCCCGGUGGUUAGCGGCGGACGGGUGAGUAACACGUGGGCAACCUGCCUGUAAGACUGGGAUAACUUCGGGAAACCGGAGCUAAUACCGGAUAAUUUCUUCCCUCGCAUGAGGGAAGGUUGAAAGUCGGUUUCGGCUGACACUUACAGAUGGGCCCGCGGCGCAUUAGCUAGUUGGUGAGGUAACGGCUCACCAAGGCGACGAUGCGUAGCCGACCUGAGAGGGGGAUCGGCCACACUGGGACUGAGACACGGCCCAGACUCCUACGGGAGGCAGCAGUAGGGAAUCUUCCACAAUGGACGAAAGUCUGAUGGAGCAACGCCGCGUGAGCGAUGAAGGCCUUCGGGUCGUAAAGCUCUGUUGUCAGGGAAGAACAAGUACCGGAGUAACUGCCGGUACCUUGACGGUACCUGACCAGAAAGCCACGGCUAACUACGUGCCAGCAGCCGCGGUAACAC